rnacentral:lncRNA from 1 species
CUGGAUGGUAAUAACUUAAUUUGCCUCAGUGACAGUUCAUCAGGUCCUUUCACUUCCAUUUUCUCAUCUGACCAUCAUGACCUUAUGGUUUUGGGUGUGCACCUGGCUUGCAGCAGAACUGGCUGGGAUGGCUUCAUAACUUCCCUUCUAACAAUAUAACAAUAUGCUUCUGUAAAUUUUCACACUGAAUUGGACAAGAAUCAGAAUAUCCUGUUUUGAACAUCUGCACAGAUUGACAAACAAAAAUGGAACAUCAAGACUGACUGGAAAUGGUGAUGUGAAAUUCAUUAAAUGCUCUUGCAAUUGCCAGAGGUGCCAAGACUGAGGCUCAGAGAAAUGAAAUAACAUGCCAAAGGUCACAGUGUCUAGUGGAGCUGGGGCCAAAUUCAGAUUAAUAACACACAGGAAAAACCCUCAACUUCUUUCAUUCGCCUGUUGAGAUAAAGGGAAAGAGAGUCCCCAUCCAGGCCUGCAGGAGAGGGAGAACUGGUGGAUGCAAAUGAAAAAGCAGAGGCAUUCCUCAGCUCUUUUAUCCCAGAGAUUAUAGUGCUGGAGUUGGAAGAAGAUGGGAGAAACAUAUGAGGAGAGAAGGAAGUCGAGCUCAUACCAUGAUGAAGAAGAUAACUCCUGAAGAUUGGGAAGGGCACUGGCUGGCUCUCAAAGAUGGACAAAUGGCUUUACGACGCUUAAGGGGAUGCUCUGUGGAGUCUGCUUGGGUGCAAAUCACCACCAUGACACACUACCCAUGGUACCGUUUUUCAGCCCCAGCCAUCACUUCAUCCUUUGCUCUGUAGCUUUCUUCAUUUGUUGGGAGAGAGGCUAUUCUUUUACUUGAACUUAGUGGGAGCUCAUUUUGCAAAGAUACAUGCUUCACCAUCCCCUGAAAGAUUUAUAUAGAAGGACACUGUGGCAACAUGUGACCUUUUGAAACUGCUCCCUUGGAAGGAAUUCUAAUGUCCUCCUGUCUAUGUUACCUGCUGUGUACCUACCACUGGGGAAAGAUGCUGAAAAUUUAAUGAAUUGCAGAAAAGCUGUGCAAGCUUCUCUUUUGGAAGAACCUUGGAGAAGAGAGAGGCUGACAGAAAGAAAACUUUCAAAGAAAUUACACUGCCCUCAAGGGUGGCAUCUACAGAGGACAGUGACAGGGCCUUGGAGACGUAUGAUUUCUUCUGCUGCUCAUUUACCUAGGUCUGUUUUCACUCUGGUGACUGGCCACAAUCAUGGGAAAAGUGAAGAAAUCUGAUAACUAUCAAGGUACAAAUUGCUAGAGAAAGAAAAUCGGGACUCUUACAACUAAGGGCUAAUUGAUGUGGAGAUGGAAGGUUUGUGGUGCUAUGUUUUGCAUGUGCCUCUGUGUGUGUUUGUGUGUGUAUAUAUAGGAGGGUAGGAGGUAGAAGAAUUCACAGUACAACCUAAUAAUCUGGGCCAUGGACCCAGCCAAAGAAGCGGGGACAGGGGUUGAAUGGAGAAGCACAUGGGACCAGAUGUACAAUGUAUCUGGAAAACAGACACAUAUACCGCAUCCAGGGAAUAACUGCAAACAGUCAAAUAACAUAUUUUGUAUUCAACCACUGACACAGAAAUUCAUGCACAAUGUAUUUUAUUUUUUAGUGGAAGAGAGAGAACUAUGCCACCCCUUUAAGGUAUGAUGCCAUUCUUAGAAAUAAAUAUUCGUAUAGAGAAAACUAUCUGAAAGGAUAGAUGUCAAAAUGUUUACAUAAGAGAUUAUUUCCGGAUGUAAGAAUUAGAGGGGAAUUUUAUAUUUUUUAUUUUUUGUGUAUGUACAGUUUCUAAUUUUCCUACAUUUAGUAUGUAAAAAGGAAAAAAAAGUAGCACAUUUUUAGAAAAGAAUUCUAAAUUUCUUUUAUAAAUAUCACUAAGGAAACAGAUUUGAUUUGGGCAAAGGGAAGAAGAGAUUAGAAUAGGGGUUGGCAAACUACGACCCUCUGAGCUAAAUCUGGCCUGCCACCUGUUUUUGUAAAUAAAGUUUCAUUGGAAUACAACCACUUCUUUCAUUUAUAUACUACAAACAUGGAGUUUAGCAGUUGUGACAAAGACCCUACGACCUACAAAGCCAAAUGGCUCUCCUAUCUGGUCCUUUACAAAAAAAGUUUGCCUAAACCCAGUUUAGAAGAAUCCUCCUAAUAUGGUCUUACCUAUUUUACCUUACUAGUUGUGUGAGCUUAGGGAAGUCAUAACUUUCACACCUCAGGUUCCUCAUGUGUAAUGAGAUGGAUAACACAUCUUAGACAUUUUAUGAAAAUUAAAUGAUUUAAUACAUAAAUGGUGCUAAACACUGUGUUUGGCAUAUAGUAGAUGCUCAAUAAAUAUUAUGCUCCUACUUAUUUUCUACUUCCUUUAAAUAAAAUGCAUUAUUCUGAUUUCAUGGCAAAUCUAAUGAAACUGCCAUUUUUGCUAGUCAAAAUUGUUCAAUAUUGGCAAUUUUAUAUGGCUCAAUGUAAUCAUACUUUAGCCAUUUACUAUUCUCAUUGCUCUUGUUUAAGUUGUAAUUGCUGAGCUUGUAUCUAUCAAUGUCACCAAGGUAGUUUUAGGGUUAGCUAAAUUGCCACAAACGGCUGGAAACCAAAAUCUAUUAAUAGCAUUGUUCUAUCCAAAUGUGGACACUUUGGGUGUAUGAAACAAAACACUGUAUUUGUAUUUCACUUUGUUACUUGUGUAACACAGGGAAAUCUGCAUUCAAUGCACCUAUGGUGUGACAGAUUAGGGCCUCUUUCCUGCUGCCCUAAAUAGAAGCUUUUUAGAUAAAGGAUAUUUGCUUCCACCCUACAAAACAGCACCUGACUUAAAUUUCAGCAGACUCAGUGAGCUUUCACAGCACUGCGACAAUCACUCUUGGCACUGAGCAAAGUUCUGACACAGUCUACCACAACAUCCUGGGAAGAACUGCUGAAGGGAACAUGGGGCUCAGGAUGCUACAAAAUUUGGAGACUGUCAUUCAAUCGCACUUGAAGAUGAUAUUCUGGGGCUUAGUGCAGAUCCAAAAUAGGAGUUCUUUAAAAAAGUAAAAUGGGGUUUCUCCAAGAACAAGACAGGAAGACCGACUGGAACAUCAAUGGAAUGUAAGUGUAAGAAGUUGCAGAUAGGGAAGUAUAGGAUGAGCUUCAUGAAAAGGAGGCAAAAUCAGGAAACUGAAAGACUAAUCAAAGUAUUCUUAUCAACAGAAAUGAAGAAAGGCUUUUAGUUCAGUGCUAAGACUAUCAAAGGAAGAACAAACCCAAUUUAAUCCAAUCAACACUUAUUAAAUGCCUACUUUAUGCCAGGCACUGGGUUAACACAGCUAGAGAUAGUAAGAUAAAUCAGACACAAUUUCUACCUUAGAGAAGUUUCUGGGCUGGUGGGAGGGAGAUAAACAUGGAACCAAAUAACUUUAAUAUCGUGAUAAAUGUUAUAAUACUAACAAUAAUAGCUGUCAUUUAUUAAUUGUGUAAAAUGUAAAGCAAACACAGAAUGGAAAAAUUAGUUUUGCUUGGAGAGGUCCAGAGAGGGUAGGGAGGAGGGGAAUAAUUACAGUCAGCACCUGAAAAUGACCAAAAGUUCACGAAGCUAAUACUGAGGCAAGAAUGAGAGUGAUGUGCUGUGGUUUCAGGACAGGAUGGAUUGUUGUAAUGGUUAAAAUGAAGCUGACGAAAAACCUCAUAAGCCAAACUUAGGAAUUGUGACGUUAUUCAGUAGGCAUUAAUUCUCAAUAAGCAGGAAGCAGUUUGGUUCAGUCCGGUUUAAAAAAGACAAGAGAAUACUUUCCUAGAGAGCCAUGAGGCAGGAUCAUAGGAAGAAGAGAGACUAAAUGGUUCUGUCUGUGAAAAUUUAGACCAGAAAAGUGGCAGUAAGAAGAGAGAAGAGGAGAUGGAUACAGGAUGCAGCAUGUCUUCAAACUGAAAUGCAAAAGUGGAGGGAGACAUUCUGAAGACCCAGAGGAGAAACAGAUGAAAAGAACUGUGGUGUGGGAGGAGCAAGGGACGGUAGGCAAGGAGAAGACCACAGUUAGGUCACUGGCCUUGGGAAAGGGAACAUCUUUUUUUCCUCGACCAGCCUGGGCAACACGGUGAAAACCUGCCUCUACAAAUAAAAAUACAAAAAAAUUUGGCCAAGUGUGGUAGUGUGCGCCUGUAGUCCCAGGUACUCGGGAGGCUGUGUGUGGAGGCUCUGGGGCUUGUGCCCAGGGUAUCGAGGCUGCAGUGAGCCGUGAUGUCACAUGUCACGUCUCAUUAAAGGGUAUUGAAUGAUACCCAAGAGAGGAAAAAUCUGAUUUCCUUAGCCUGGCCCUCAAAGCAUUCUGUAAUGUAGCUCACAACCUAUUCUUCUGAUCCAUUUUCACCUCCUUUAUUCUUCCCUCCUGAGGGUAUAGAUACCCAAAUGUCUUCGGGACUCAGGCGGGUAACACACAAGGGGGUGAAGUGGCAGGGUCUGAGGCCCUGAAGUGGUGAGUCCAUGGCUCACAGGACGUUAUAUUUUCUUUUUAAAUUCACUGAGAGGCAAACAACAUAUAUACACACAGAGAUUUUAGAAGUUUAACGUUUAUCUUGAGAGGCUUUACCUUCUAAAAUUCUACACAGCAUCAAUCCAGCCUUCUCUAAGCAGACUUCCCAGUCAACCAGGCUUAUAGACAAGAGUUCCUUCUCAUGUCUUAUUAGGGUUAUAAGCAUGUCCACCCCCAUGCUUAUUUUUAUAUCACUUACCUGCACAUAUAAGAUGUUAUCCCUCAGAGUGUACAGGUCAAAGCAUGAGCUUUGGAUUCAGACAGCCCUGGGUUAAAAUACUGUUUUUGCCACCUCUGGGCUUGUAUAACAUGUGAAAAGCUAUCUAAGGUCUUGGAAACUCACUUUCCUCAUUUGUCAAAUGAUAAUAAUAUUAAUAAUAAUACCAACCUUAAAGGGUUAUUGUGAAGAUAAAAUUAAACAAUAUACGAAAAAUACUUCCUCGAUUGCCUGGCAUAUAAACCCUCAAUAAAUAUGUUUUAAGAUAUAUGGUUUUCCCCAACAUGAUGAUAAUUUAAGGAAGGGCGAGAAUCACAUCUUCUGAAUUCUUUCUACCUUGAGUUACUAGAGAAAUAUCUUGGGAGUAUUCGAUGCUAAGUAUAUGUUUAGGAAAUGGGUUGAUAUUUAAAAUAAUCAUUAUUACUAAAAAACACACUGGGCAAGGCAAAAUUUUCAUGGGCUGGAGAAAUUAUCACUAAUUGCUAGGUUUUAGGGCCUUAACUAGAUUAGUGAGAUGCUUCUAAACAAUAAAAAAACAAAAAUUACACACAUAAGUAUAUGUGUAUAUCUACGCAUUUAUAUAAUUCUUUACAUACAAAUGUAUAUCUGUAACACAUAUAUGUUUAUAAUUCUUUACCACUUGCAAAGUGCUUUCUCACAAACUUUGAUGUGGAGUUCCUGCAACUACGGAUCAAUAAUAAUAGCCAAUACCAACUUUAUAAGAUACGUAUUAUCAUAAUUUAAUUUUAGGGAAAGGGAAACUGAGGCUCAGUGAGGUUAAACAUACUUGGCGAAGGUCACACACCGUGAAUAAUGAAUGGAAUGUAUUCUAUUGCAGGUCACCACAGUCCAAUCUUUCUCUCAUCUUUCAUAGGUAUCAAAGAUAUGAAGCUUGCCAAGAGUAUUCUAAACAUUUAAGAGUAACAUUACCCUACAGUUAAUAUGGGAAUUGAAAAAUAUCUCUAAUAAGAAUUUCAACAGGGAACAUGGGGGAUCAAACGUAGUGUCCUAAAAGGAUCUUGGCCAAGAUCUCUUGAAGAUAGUUGUGUUUUACUGAAACAGUGCCACAGGAUUGUAAAUAUCAUCAAUCCUACAUGUGUGGACUUCAGUUUCCUCCAUCAAUAACACAUGACAUCAGGCUCCUCACCAUAAAUGACGCCAUCUAAAGGAAAAGAGUCAUUGGUCUACUUAGCUGAUUGCCUCUAAUAGGUCUAAUUUUUGAUCUCCCAAUAACAUGCAGGCUCUGUAAGGAUGGGAACUCUGACUUGACAGGAAGAGAGCAUGUGGUAUAUUAAUUUUUUUUUUUUUUUUUGAGACAGAGUCUUGCUCUGUCGCCCAGGCUGGAGGGCA